rnacentral:rRNA from 1 species
AUUGAACGCUGGCGGCAUGCUUUACACAUGCAAGUCGAACGGCAGCACGGGGGCAACCCUGGUGGCGAGUGGCGAACGGGUGAGUAAUAUAUCGGAACGUACCCGGAAAUGGGGGAUAACGUAGCGAAAGUUACGCUAAUACCGCAUAUGCCCUAAGGGGGAAAGCGGGGGAUUCGCAAGAACCUCGCGUUUUCGGAGCGGCCGAUAUCGGAUUAGCUAGUAGGUGAGGUAAAGGCUCACCUAGGCGACGAUCCGUAGCUGGUCUGAGAGGACGACCAGCCACACUGGAACUGAGACACGGUCCAGACUCCUACGGGAGGCAGCAGUGGGGAAUUUUGGACAAAUGGGCGCAAGCCUGAUCCAGCCAUGCCGCGUGAGUGAAGAAGGCCU